UCUCUCUCUCUCUCUCUCUUUAUGAUACAAGGGUACUUCACCAUUUUACUGCUGAAAAGAGAGGGCAAAACAAAUGCCUCUCAAAAUCCAACGUAAUGAAAACAAAAAUUGAAUUAUUUGAAUAACUUAGAAUUUCUGCAAUGCAGGAGAGAUUGAACUAGUCAUUCAUACAGGUUUUUUCAACAUGUGUGGAGAUUAGAUCAAAACACUCAUCUCAUUCUCAGACAGGAAAAGGACAUUCAACUAGCAGAUACUGUAUUUUAUCUUGUGUGACUCCGCCAGAAAUCCAAUCAGUAUCCUAAAUUCUGAGUUUCUGCAAUACAACCAGGCAGAUCAACUAGCACAAUCAUUUCCAAUCAACCAAAUUGCUGGUUAACAAAACUUUUAUACAGUUUAAAAGGAAGAAAAAUAAAGGACCUAAAUUAUGAAUUCACUAAAACCAAGUUUUUAUUUCCUAUUUUAGUUCAUUAUCCAAGAAAUAUUUUUGCAGUGCCACACAUCAAAUAUAAUUGUGAUAAGUAAUACAGUGUAGAGAGACAAAGCAGGAAACAGAUAGGUUAUCAAAUAACAUGUCCUUCGUCUUGUUGGUUGAUAAAGUUUGCUAGAAGAGCACAAAACAUAAAGGAUUCUUGCCUCAAAGAAAUAGCGUCUAGGAG
rnacentral:misc_RNA from 1 species